GUCUACGGCCAUAUCACGUUGAAAACACCGGUUAUCUUCCAAUCACCGAGGUUAAGCAACGUCGAGCCCGGUUAGUACUUGGAUGGGUGAAAACCUGGGAAUACCGGGUGCUGUAGGCU
rfam:Helobdella robusta unplaced genomic scaffold HELROscaffold_154, whole genome shotgun sequence.